GGAAUAUUGGACAAUGGAGGCAACUCUGAUCCAGCCAUGCCGCGUGAAGGAAUAAGGCCCUCUGGGUUGAAAACUUCUUUUAGACGGGACAAAAUCCCUUUAGGUGUAAAGGGUUGCUGGUACUGUCAGAUUCAGCAUCGGCCUACUCCGUGCCAGCAGCCGCGGUAAUACGAAGGAUGCAAGCGUAAUCCGGAAUUAGUGGGUUUACAGGGUCAGCAGGCGGACUAAUAAGUCAGGGGUGAAAGCCUGCAGCUUAACUGCAGAAUUGCCAUUGAUACUGUAAGCCUUGAGUUCAGUUGGGGUAGGCGGAAUGUGUCAUGUAGCGGUGAAAUGCUUAGAUAUUGCGCAGAACACCGAUUGCGAAGGCAGCUUGCUAAGCUGAAACUGACGCUGAGGCACGAAAGCGUGGGGAGCAAACA
rnacentral:rRNA from 1 species